UUCAUGCACCCUGCCUGCCUUUUGUCAGUCACGCAGCCAGCCGUUGGCAGAGGAGUGGGUCUGUGAAGGUCAGGAUGUAUCCAGGGCAAGAAAUAGACUCUUUGUGGUUUUGCCACAUAGAAACACCAGGCAGAUCAGCUUAUUGCCCCGAUAAAGACUGAUAACCAAAGAAGAAGUGAGUGUGUUCUGUGAAAUUUGAUGUCUUAAACUGUACAUCUUGUCCAGGAGAUUUUCCUCUGGACCUUUCCUCCUCACAGGUGUUGCUACUUGGUCCAAGCUGGGGUGUGUGAUAUCAAGGUUGUAGGUUCUCCCAGGCUGCAUCAGGUAUUGAUGGCCAACAUAAGAACACAUACCGUCUCACCAGGGCCCAGAAUAGAACAUUUGGCAUCCUUUUUGGCUCUUACAACGUUUGCCUUGCAAGCCAGAGGACCCGAGUUUGAUCCCCUUCAGAUCCUGUCAGCUUUUCAGGCAACGGGCAGAAUCCAGAAAGGUAACAGCACAAGGAUAUGGGAAUCUUUGCAGGACCGGUGGCUUUCCUUCCUUCCUUUUUCCAUUUAUCCUUUCUUUAGAAGGCAGAUAAGGCGGCAUUAUUGAUUGAGGAGUGUGCGCAUUAGCUACCAUGGCAACGCAUGUUACUAUUGGC
ensembl:processed_transcript Gm13663 predicted gene 13663